rnacentral:pre_miRNA from 1 species
AGGAAAGUUUCCUGGAAAAAUACUGUGUAGGAGGUUUUGGAUGUUUCGAAACUUCCUAUAGAGUAUUUUUCCAGAAAACUUUCCU